rnacentral:lncRNA from 1 species
GUCAUCAGCUAUUCUCUGUGUACAGAGAUUUAUGGGAAUUCCUUCUAAAGGUAAAAGACUGUCUGUUCUCAUGGCGGUGGCAUGUGUGGCAUCAUGGUGCACUGGAGCUAUAUUUGGAGCAGUGCCAGUAGCCUUUGACUGGAUAAGGUGAGCCAGAGUGAAGAUGCUCAGAGAUGCUCCGAAUAUAUGCAUCUAUACUGUAUUCUGCCUCCUAUGUUCAGGUAUGAUCCAGCAGAAAUGCUGUGUGCAGUGUUCUGGGAAAGCAGUUACUCUGACAUGCUGGUUUACAUCCUUUGUGCCUUCUCCAUCUCCAUCUUCGUCCCAUUUCUACUCAUACUCUCCUGCUCCAUCCUGACUUGUGUAGGCUUUGGAAAAGACGGUUCCAGCCAGGGUGACCUGUCUUCUGUCACGCCACUGCUGGUGAUCUUGUAUCUGUUCUGCUAUGUUCCAUCUGCUGCAUCUGAGUUGGUUCUCCUUGGAAGGCUUGAUCUAUCCCCAUCCCCUGAAUGGCUGCAAUCACGGUCAUCAGUAAUGGCAUAUCUGGACUGUGGUUUAAACCCCUUUAUCUACUGCACUAAUAAAGACUUCCGAAAAGCAGUACUCAUACUGUUUUGGAACAAAAGGAGAUCAGCUUUUCCCGAUCCAGUGCUGACCGGCAUUACAAGGCUUGAAAUAUGAAGAUUUAAAAUAAAG